GUGGUCCUUAAACAUAUGUCUGACGCCAUAUAACCGUCAAUAAAAUGUGUUGAGUGCGUCGUUAAAUAAAAGAUUUCUUUCUUUCUUUCUAAUAUGCUUAUGUAUAAAAUUACAAUUCGCUCUGAUGCAUAUAACGCGAACUAUGAUUGAUUAGUCAAUUGCAUUUGCAGCAGUAAGACCAGCAUUAAUGUGUCAGAAAUGUGGGUGAUACCCCAAGAACCUUAUUACAUAUUCAUAUGCUACUUCUUGCUGUUCAGUUAGAUGUACGUUUAAAAUAUCAACAUCAAAUGUUUUGCCAAAGGCAAAAUAGUGCUCUACAUUUUAAAACAUAAAUGCUAUUUAUACAUGUUUGUGUGAUGCUAACAGGAAUGCGGAAGUAAUUAACGACAGCUUCAUGUAUGCUGAAUUAUGAAUAUUGGUUACCGUUGUGAUCAGAAUUCGGAAUAAGUGAAAUCGGUAAUAAAUUUUAAUAAAAAAAUUAAAUACAAUAACAAAAUAAUAAUUUUUAAAAUCUGGUAGAAAUUUAUUAUUAAUUAAUCCCUGUUAUAUUUUUCAUUCACUUAUAAAAUCAAGCAUAUUAAUUACAUUUAUGUUUUUAUUUAAUGGGAAAAUAAACCUGUCACGAUCAUGGUAAAAAUGCCCCACAAGUUUUUUUAGUCUACCAUGACUUGCCAAAUUUCUAUGGAAAACACUGUAUAUACUGUAAUAUAUGUGUGUACUGUUUAGAUAAUGGGUUUUGUUUUCUCUCUAAAAGUUCCAUUGUUUACAUUUAAAUUGUUUGUAGCGUGCAACCAGUGUGUAUCAAGUCUUUUAAUUGCACUGCAAUACUGUGUUUCCAUUUUGUUUUUUCUUUAAUUUUUAGAAACCCCAAGAAGAAACCUUGUGGAAAUAUUUGUGACGAAGAAAUCCACAACAAUUCGGCUGGUUUGGUUGAUGCUGUAUCAACGCCAACAAGUGACACUGGUGCCAAAACAAUUAGACUAAUGUCUGAUCACCAGAUUUUCAUAACGAUUCAACAAAUGACAUUAAUUAAACAACAAGGGUUCAACCCAAGGACGUUGAUGAAUGUUUUGCUGGACACGCUGUUCAGCAAAGAUAUUUUAGCAGUAACAUCUGCCAAAGGCUCAAGAAACGCUGUCAACAAGGCCAGUGGCGCGAACAGCCUACAGUUAGAUGUAGUUGUAAUUGCUGCAAUUAAAGAGUACACCCUUCGGGAAUUUGAAAAAAGAGGGAAAAGCCUGCACGAGUGCAGCAGAAAUGAACAAUUUAAUAAACACUAAAUGUGCGAGCGCCAGGAGCAAUUUUUAAGAAUGACAUGGAGAUGAAAGCACAGUGCUAAAAUGACAUG